rnacentral:lncRNA from 1 species
UCCUGGCCUUUAGGCCUUAAGCCUGAUUGUAGUCUCGAGCCUGAGGCGAGGGGGUGGGGGUCCUAAGAGUGGUCUCGGGCUAAGAUGAGGGUGCCGUAUGCCUGCUCAAGCAUGUCUGGGGCCUAAGGCGGGGACAUGGUCCGUGGUGAGCUGGGGUCGCGUGGUCUUAAGAGUGGUCUCGGGCUAAGAUGAGGAUACCCUAGGCCUACUCGAGCAUGUCUGGGGCCUAAGGCGGGGACAUGGUCCAUGGUGAGCUGGGGUCGCGUGGUCGUAGGCCUAAGAAGAGGGUGAGGGGUCCUAGCCUUGAGUUUGGUCUCGGGCCUUGUGAUGAUGGGGGAAGGGGGUGGUGGGCCUUAGGCCUGAUUAUAGUCUCGAGCCUGAGGCCUAAGAAGAGGGUGAAGGGGUCCUAGCCUUGAGUUUGGUCUUGGGCCUUGUGAUGAUGGGGGAAGGGGGUGGUGGGCCUUAGGCCUGAUUGUAGUCUCGAGCCUGAGGCGAUAGGGUGAUGGGAUCUUGGACCUGACUGUGGUCUCGGGCAUAAGAUGAGGGUGAGAGAGGGAGGGUCCCGAGCUCAAGUGUGGUCUCUUGGGUGUUCCUAGCCUUAAGUUCGGUCUCGGGCUUAGGAUAGGGGAGGGGGUCUUAGGCCCGAUUGUAGUCUCGAGCCUAGGGUGAGGGGUAGGAUCUUGGGCCUGACAGUGGGAUCUUAGGUCUAAGAUGAGGGUAAGAAAAGUGGGGUCCUGAGCUUAAGACUGGUCUCUUGGGGGGUCCUAGCCUUGAGUUAGGCCCGAUUGUAGUCUCAAGCCUAGGGUGAGGGUGAGAGAGGUGGGGGGUCCUAGCCUUGAGUUUGGUCUCGGGCUUAGGAUGUGGGAAAGGGGGUCUUAGACCUGAUUGUAGUCUUGAGCCUGGGGCGAUGGAGUGGAAUCCUGGGCCUGACAGUGGUCUCGAGCCUAAGAUGGGGGUUAGGGAGGUGGGGUCCUGAGCCUAAGCGUGGUCUUGUGCCUAGGUGCAGGGGUGAGGCUUAAGCAUGUGUAGUCUUGAGCCUGGGGCGAGGGAGUGGAAUCCUGGGCCUGACAGUGGUCUCGAGCCUAAGCGUGGUCUCUUG